AGGGAAGAUCCACAGUUGAGCAAAUAAUUUCAACACAAUGCAAUGAAUACUACCUAAAGGGGGCUUAUAAACUAAAACAAAUGUUUAUACCAAGGGAGGAUGUAAAAUCCUAAUCUGUCUACAUCUAUUGAGUUCACUCAGAAUAAUUUUAGUAGUUUUCUGCCUUGGUUAAUUAAAAUGUUCAUCUCCGUGUACUCCAAGGAGCAGAUCAGGUGACCUCUUGAAGAACUUUGAAGCUCUAGGAUUCUGUUUUUGCACUCCCCUAGCAACUGAGAAAUCAGGACAUCUUUCUCUACAGGCAAGAAGAGGAAAAUAAUACAUGAGUGACAGAAGAUUGAGUACAGUACCCAGCUUUGCCAAGUAGACCAGGGAGCACAGCCGGUUGCUGUGGGAUUGCAUUAGAGGCUUUGGUGAAAAGCCUGGAGACCUCACUAUCAAGGAGGAAGUGAAAGGUAAUCAGUGGGACUCUACCAGUGAACUCUUCAGGGAACCUAACACCAUUUAUGUGUUUACCAGAGAUAUGCUUCUGAUUGUAAUGGGACCCCUGACAAAUUGAGGAUUUUUGCAUUGCUGCACUUGAGUGG
rnacentral:lncRNA from 1 species